GACUGGUUAAUGACUAUUUCUCUAAAACACUGACUCUUCCAUUGCCCUGCAACUCCCACAUAACGUAUAAGGUCUAAAUCCCUAAUUUCUAUAGAUACUGUGGAGGAUUUAAAAUAAAACAACACAAUAUUUACUACCUUGAGUAACCAGAAAGUUGUAAGUGGACGCUAAAUUAAGCAGAAUUUUAAGAGAGAAUAAAAUAAUCCCAUUUUCUUUUAUAAACAGUCUACUAAUAAUUAAAGUGGAAUCUUCAAAAUUAUUUUACAUUUUUUUUGCCACAGGGAGUAACUCUUCACAAAAUAUGAUUCUACCUUAUAUACAAACAUUAGAAUUGAACAAAUAAGUUCUCAAGUGAUGAAAUCAUAUUUGGAAUUUGUUAAACAUAUUAAUACCAUGUAAUCAAAACUUUGAAAUUUCAAUUUUUAACCAAAAAUGACAGAAACUAAACUUUCUAAUCUAAAAACAUUUCAAGAAAAAGGAUAUUCUU
rnacentral:lncRNA from 1 species